UACGUAGGGGGCAAGCGUUGUCCGGAAUCACUGGGCGUAAAGCGCACGUAGGCGGAUUGUUAAGUCAGGGGUGAAAUCCCUGGAGCUCAACUCCAGAACUGCCUUUGAUACUGAGGAUCUUGAGUUCGGGAGAGGUGAGUGGAACUGCGAGUGUAGAGGUGAAAUUCGUAGAUAUUCGCAAGAACACCAGUGGCGAAGGCGGCUCACUGGCCCGAUACUGACGCUGAGGCACGAAAGCGUGGGGAGCAAACAGG
rnacentral:rRNA from 1 species